GUAAGGAAUAUUGGUCAAUGGGGGCAACCCUGAACCAGCCAUGCCGCGUGAAGGAUGAAGGCGUUAUGCGUUGUAAACUUCUUUUGUAUGGGAAGAAUGACAGGGAUUCAUCCUUGGAGAGACGGUACCAUACGAAUAAGCACCGGCUAACUCCGUGCCAGCAGCCGCGGUAAUACGGAGGGUGCAAGCGUUAUCCGGAAUCACUGGGUUUAAAGGGUACGUAGGCGGUUAAUUAAGUCAGUAGUGAAAGACUGUCGCUCAACGACGGAUGUGCUAUUGAUACUGGUUAACUUGAAUCAGGUUAGAGUUGGCGGAAUGGGUCAUGUAGCGGUGAAAUGCUUAGAUAUGGCACAGAACACCAAUUGCGAAGGCAGCUCACUAAGGCGAUACUGACGCUGAGGCACGAAAGCGUGGGGAUCGAACAGGAUUAGAAACCCUGGUAGUCC
rnacentral:rRNA from 1 species